rnacentral:lncRNA from 1 species
CUCGUGUUUCUCUAGAGGCCCCGCCCCUCUCGCCCCAGGCCCCGCCCCUAGGCCGCCGCUCUCAGGCAGGGCCCGCCCCCCUCAGGCAGGGCCCGCCCCCGCCGACUGUCCUCCUAUAGUUCCCACCCCUCUGACAGUAGGCCCCGCCCCUCCACCUGCAUUUCCCCACAGGCCCCGCCCCUGACAGUAGGCCCCGCCCCCGCCCGCAGUUUCCCCGUAGUCCCCGCACGCGCCAGCCCGGUCCCCUACAGCAGCUGCGCCCGCGGAGCCUGGGCCGAGCAGACGGAGCCCCGGGCAGGGGGAUCCGCGCCUCCUCUCCCGAGCGGCCCGAUAACUUCACAGAUGCCGAGCUCGGCGUCCCCGAGUGACCCCCACAGAUCCCGAGCAGGAGUCGCCGAGUGACCCCCAUAGAUCCCGAGGCCCGGGGUCCACGCUGUCCCCGAGUCCUGGGCAGAUCAGGAGAGGGCCGAGUGGGGACGAAAACAGCCGAGGGUGGCAUUGACGAAGAGCGCCGAGCGCCCUCGGAAGGACCGAAGUGUUUACGGGGACGUCCGAGAGAUCACGGAAAGAGCCGAGAAUAACUAAAGGGUCGGCCCUCGAGGAAGAGAACCGAACGCUCUAGGGGAAACCGAAGUGUGUGCGGAGAGGGCUGAACGGUGACGGAAAAAGCCGAGCAUGGCUGAAGGGUCGGGCAUUGACGAAGAGCGCCGAGCGCCCUCGGGAUGACCGAGCGUGUGCGGAGAGGGCCGAGCGUAGCUGAACGCUGAAGCGGAGAGCCGAUGUGUACAGAGAGUGACUGGGGGUGGGGGGGCCGGAAAGAGCCGAGGGCAGGCGGACGAAAGCCGAGUGGCUUCGAAAGGCUCCGGUGUGUACGGAGAGGGCCGAGGGGCCACGGAAAGAGCCGAGGGUGAGGAGAGAGGCAAAGAGGGACGGAAGGAGCCGCUUCGGGCUGAAGGAGUAGCGGUCCCCGCAGCUGCGUCUCCAUGGCCGGACAGCUCAGCGCCCCGGGCAUCUUCGGGACGCCAUCCGGCCCUGGAGCCAACGCGGACUGGAUGUCGGGCCUGAGCCCGGGGCUGUGGGACAUCCCGCUGCACCAGCUGUCCAUCCCGGGCAGCCACGACACCAUGACCUACUGCCUGAGCAGGACGUCGCCCGUGUCCCAUGCGCAGCCCCGGCUGCUGCGCGUCCUCAGCUCGGCGCUGCCCUGCGUCACGCGGCCCGUGGUGCUGAAGUGGUCGGUCACCCAGGUACGCGCGGCCGGC